rnacentral:rRNA from 1 species
AGUCGAACGAAUCCCAUCUGGGUAACUGGGUGGGGGAAGUGGCGAAAGGGGCAGUAAGGCGUGGGCAACCUACCCCGGGGAUCGGGAUAGCCGUCCUAACGGACGGAUAAUACCGGGCGAUCUGGCGAGGAGGCAUCUUCUGGCCAGGAAAUGAAUUUCGCCUCGGGAGGGGCUCACGUAGUAUUAGCUUGUUGGCGGGGUAACGGCCCACCAAGGCCAAGAUGCUUAGCGGGUGUGAGAGCACGACCCGCGCCACUGGCACUGAGACACUGGCCAGACUCCUACGGGAGGCUGCAGUCGAGGAUCUUCGGCAAUGGGCGCAAGCCUGACCGAGCGACGCCGCGUGUGCGAUGAAGGCCUUCGGGUUGUAAAGCACUGUCGAGGGGGAGAAAAGCCCGCAAGGGUCUGAUCUAUCCCUGGAGGAAGCACGGGCUAAGUUCGUGCCAGCAGCCGCGGUAAGACGAACCGUGCGAACGUUGUUCGGAUUCACUGGGCUUAAAGGGCGCGUAGGCGGACGGUCAAGUCGGGGGUGAAAUCUUUCAGCUUAACUGGAAACGUGCCUUCGAUACUGAUCGUCUCGAGGGAGGUAGGGGCAUGCGGAACUUCCGGUGGAGCGGUGAAAUGCGUAGAUAUCGGAAGGAACGCCGGUGGCGAAAGCGGCGUGCUGGACCUCUUCUGACGCUGAGGCGCGAAAGCCAGGGGAGCGAACGGGAUUAGAUACCCCGGUAGUCCUGGCCCUAAACGAUGGGUACUAGAUUGUGGACUUAACAUGGGUUCCCAAUCGAAGCUAAAGUGUUAAGUACCCCGCCUGGGGAGUAUGGUCGCAAGGCUGAAACUCAAAGGAAUUGACGGGGGCUCACACAAG